rnacentral:rRNA from 1 species
AUUGAACGCUGGCGGCAUGCCUUACACAUGCAAGUCGAACGGCAGCACGGGUGCUUGCACCUGGUGGCGAGUGGCGAACGGGUGAGUAAUACAUCGGAACGUACCUUAUCGUGGGGGAUAACGCAGCGAACGUUGCGCUAAUACCGCAUACGCCCUGAGGGGGAAAGCGGGGGACCGUAAGGCCUCGCGCGACUAGAGCGGCCGAUGUCUGAUUAGCUUGUUGGUGAGGUAAAAGCUCACCAAGGCGAUGAUCAGUAGCUGGUCUGAGAGGACGAUCAGCCACACUGGGACUGAGACACGGCCCAGACUCCUACGGGAGGCAGCAGUGGGGAAUUUUGGACAAUGGGGGCAACCCUGAUCCAGCAAUGCCGCGGGAGUGAAGAAGGCCUUCGGGUUGUAAAGCUCUUUUGUCAGGGAAGAAACAGCAGCUCUAACACAGUCUGCGAAUGACGGUACCUGAAGAAUAAGCACCGGCUAACUACGUGCCAGCCGCCGCGGUAAAAC